GAAUAAGUACUGCAAAGGAACAGAUUGUUUUAUAAAUAUAGUUAUAGUAAAGAUUUACUCUUCUACC
rnacentral:tRNA from 1 species